CCUACGGGAGGCAGCAGUGAGGAAUAUUGGUCAAUGGACGAGAGUCUGAACCAGCCAAGUAGCGUGAAGGAUGACUGCCCUAUGGGUUGUAAACUUCUUUUAUAAAGGAAUAAACGAGGCACGUGUGCCUUUUUGCAUGUACUUUAUGAAUAAGGAUCGGCUAACUCCGUUCCAGCAGCCGCGGUAAUACGGAGGAUCCGAGCGUUAUCCGGAUUUUAUGGGUUUAAAGGGAGCGUAGAUGGGUUGUUAAGGCAGUUGUUAAAGUUUGCGGGUUAACCCUAAAAUUGCAAUUGAUACUGGCAGUCUUGAGUACAGUUGAGGUAAGCGGAAUUCGUGGUGUAGCGGUGAAAUGCUUAGAUAUCACGAAGAACCCCGAUUGCGAAGGCAGCUUACUAAACUGUGACUGACAUUGAUGCUCGAAAGUGUGGGUAUCAAACAGGAUUAGAUACCCUAGUAGUC
rnacentral:rRNA from 1 species